CCCCGGUGUCCUCUCCCUGCCUAUUGGCACCCUUGUGGCCAGGCCUGCUCCCAGAGCAGAAUCUGGAUCUAGAGGAGGGGGCAACCCCGUCCCUACUCUCCAAGGGCAGGACACACACACACACACACACACACACACACACACACACGAGCACUCGACACAGGCGAAGAAAACGCAUAAACAAAUGCAGAGUCAUCACCAGCUGCAGGAGCUUUACGCGGCCAUGCCAGGGGCGGACAGAACGAGCAGAGAACCGGAGGCGCUGAGUCCAAACAGCUGUGUGCUGUGCUCAGGAGCUAACGCCAAGGGUGAGCUCUAGUUGGCGCCCACGGUCCCCGGCCCCCACACACAGCCUGGGUGGAGUUCGGCUAGGCCCGUGCCAGUGGGAGACCCCAGGGGCUGGCUGUGUUGGAGCACCUCAGCGGACCGCGAGAAACGAGCAUGUGUCCAAACCUUGCCACCUCGUGCUGAGCGGGCCGAAACUGCUCUCCCGUCCUCAUGCGGGUACCUCUCCAGUGUCCCCCUGGUGCCGAGCAGAGACGGGCCAAGGACGAUGUUUGGCAGGAGGAAGGCAGUGAGAACGUCAUAACCCCAGGGCUCCAGGCUGCCCUGGGGACAGCCCGGCCAUCACUCUGCCCACCCGCCGCCUCGUGGUCCAUAGCUGGUGGUGGCCUCCACAUCAGCACCUGACUGAGCAGGGAGAGCCCCUCGUGGGGAACAGUGUCCUCUACAAGAUGACACCUGAGACUGCCGUGGUGCCUGCUUGUGGUCACUUCUGGGCUGGGCCUGGAGCGGGCAGGGAAAGAUUCACCCUGAGCUAACAUCUGCUGCAAAUCCUCCUCUUUUUGCUGAAGAAGACUGGCCCUGAGCUAACAUCCGUGCCCAUCUUCCUCUACUUUCUAUGUGGGACGCCUGCCAAGCAGUGCCAUGUCCGCACCCGGGAUCCGAACUGGCAAACCCCAGGCUGUCAAAGCAGAACAUGCGCACUGUACUGCUGCGCCACUGGGCCGGCCCCAAAAGAGCACUGAAUUUUAACCACUAGGCCAUCAUGACUGGCUCCUUUUUUUUUUCAAGCCAGGAAAUGGACAUUGGUACAAUCCACAGACAUUCAGAUUUCACCAGUUUUACAUGGGGGUGUGUGUGUGUAGUUUCAUGCAAUUUUAUCACGCAUAGAUUCGUGUAACCACCUCUAUAAUCAAGACAGAGAACUACUCCAUUUGCAGAGAUCCCUCUGCAGUCACACAUACCCCUCUGCUCGUCCUUAACCACCCCUCCUCCCCAACCCCUGCCAGCCACUAAUCUGCUCUCCAUCUGUAUAACUAUGUCAUUUUGAGAAUGUCACAUAAAUGGAAUCAUGCAGUAUGUGCCCUUUCGAAGCUGACUUUUUUCACUCCACAGAACGCCCGUGACAUCCAUCCAACGCGUGGUGUGCGUCAACAGUUCAUCGUUUCUGGUUGCUGGGUCGUGCUCUGCAGCAUGGAUGUCCCACAGUUUGUCUAACUGUUCACCUGUUGAAUGACGUUCGGGUUGUUUCCCACUUGGGACUAAUACGAAUGAAAUUGCUGUGAACGCUCACGUACAAGCUUUUAUGUGGACCUAAGUCUUCAUUUCUUCGGGCCACGUCUAGGAAGGUGGUUGAUGGAUCACACGGGAAGAAUAUGUUCAGGUUUUGAGAAACAGCACUUGGGGACAAAUAGACAGAUCGGCACAUCUGGGAACUGCAGGGGUCUCCAUUGCACGGCAGAGGUGUCCACCAGGUCCAGGCUGGGGCCUGAUAGGGAAAGAACUGAGAUUUAUGGCCCUACAGAGCCUGAGCCUGCAGCUGACACAGCUGGGAAGUGACCAAGGGCAGCUGGAAGGAGGAGCUCUCCAAAGUCCAGACCUGUUCAACACAGUCAAGGGAGAACACAGAACCAAACUGUCGGCAGCAGGGUGGUACUGGCCUCCCAGAAGCCCCUGACCACGCUAGAAAGACGGGCUCGCGGAAUGAUCUUCAAGCCCGAAUCAUGUGCUGUGAGUCAGAGCCCCACGCACAGAAAGCACAAGUGGAGAGGCGUCACUGCUCCCUAAGGAGGCUCCCCAGGCUCCACCUCACCUGACCGCAGAGGCUGCUGAGUGGAGGGCACCGGGCCUGCCACUCACGCCCUCAACAAACAUUCGGUGAGCCCUCCUGUGUGUGAGCACUGUACUAGGCUUCUGACAUGACCUAAAGAAGCCGGUAUCUGGACAGUUGGUCACCAUCUGGAGGUGACACAUAGUUCUGCGGAACAGAGGAUGCUGAGAGCUGUUCCAGGGCACCUUAAGAAAUUAGCAUCUUUGCUGCCAGAGCUUCCUAACAGAGGGCAGACUACAGGACACGUGGAGGAGGCAGCGUGUCGGGGAGCUUAGGAACAACAGCUAACACUUAGGUGUACCUUGGCACACACCAGGUGCUAGCACUGUGCCAAGCAUGUGAUGAUAAUUCAAUAGUGUAAGAUUCAUGCAACGUAUACUUACUGAAUUUCUUACUGUGGGCCCAAUGACCAAAGAAGACCCUGAUGUCGAGGGAUGGGGAGAGCGACUCGGCCAAGAGACAACUGGGUCCUGGAAGAGUCCCGGCCCAGCACGGCCAAUGCUUUCUGCUUUCUCGUGCUGGAUAUUAGGGCAGUGAUUCAGUGAUUCUCCAAUGGGGAGGGAUGGGGGAGCUUAAUCUCCAAUUUGGGAUUUACACAGAGAUUGAAAAAGCAUAUCCAAAUGAUACUAUAAUUCUGUAUUUGGAAAAUAAAAAUUAUUUUUUAUAAUAAAAACUAGAGUAAGUCGGGCUUGAUAAAAUGGUCUUAGCUAGUGCAGAUACACAGAAAAACAAUAAUUCUCAAAGAGGGCAACGUUCUGGGGCAAGAUGCAGCAGAAUCUCUGAAGG
ensembl:lncRNA